rnacentral:rRNA from 1 species
UACGUAGGGGGCAAGCGUUGUCCGGAUUUAUUGGGCGUAAAGAGCGUGUAGGCGGUUUGGUAGGUCCGCUGUGAAAACUCGAGGCUCAACCUCGAGACGCCGGUGGAAACCAUCAGGCUAGAGUCCGGAAGAGGAGAGUGGAAUUCCUGGUGUAGCGGUGAAAUGCGUAGAUAUCGUAAGGAAGACCAGUGGCGAAGGCGGGUCUCUGGACAGUUCCUGACGCUGAGGCACGAAGGUCAGGGGAGCAAACGGG